GACUCCAUAGUAUAGUGGUUAGCACAUCUGCUUUACACGCAGAAGGUCCUGGGUUCGCACCGCAGGUGGAGCUA
rfam:Pteropus alecto contig6839, whole genome shotgun sequence.